GUUAUUUUGGCAGAAUAGUGUGAUUGAUUUAGAUUCUUUUAAUGUAUAUUUAUACAGAUAACA
rnacentral:tRNA from 1 species